rnacentral:rRNA from 1 species
AACGCGAAGAACCUUACCUGGCCUUGACAUCCCAGGGACCCUGAAGAGAUUUAGGGGUGCCGUAAGGAGCCUGGAGACAGGUGCUGCAUGGCUGUCGUCAGCUCGUGUCGUGAGAUGUUGGGUUAAGUCCCGCAACGAGCGCAACCCUUGUCCUUAGUUGCCAGCAUUAAGUUGGGCACUCUAAGGAGACCGCCGGUGACAAACCGGAGGAAGGUGGGGAUGACGUCAAGUCCUCAUGGCCCUUAUGGGCUGGGCUACACACGUGCCACAAUGGCGGUGACAGAGGGCGGCGAGGCAGCGAUGCCAAGCCAAUCUACAAAAAGCCGUCUCAGUUCGGAUUGCUCUCUGCAACUCGGGAGCAUGAAGUCGGAAUCGCUAGUAAUCGCGGAUCAGCAUGCCGCGGUGAAUACGUCCCGGGCCUUGUACACACCGAGUAUA